rnacentral:misc_RNA from 1 species
UCCGGCUUGUCACCGGCAGUUUCUGCAGAGUGCCCGGCAUUAUCCGCUGGCAACUGCAGAUGAGGGUUGCGCUCGUUGCGGGACUUAACCCAACAUCUCACGACACGAGCUGACGACAGCCAUGCAGCACCUGUGCUCCGGCCAGCCGAACUGAAGAACGGGGUCUCCCCCGCCCAUACCGGACAUGUCAAACCCAGGUAAGGUUCUUCGCGUUGCCUCGAAUUAAACCACACGCUCCGCUGCUUGUGCGGGCCCCCGCCUAUUCCUUUGAGUUUUAACCUUGCGGCCGUAGUCCCCAGGCGGUGAACUUAAUGCGUUAGCUGCGGCACUGAUCGGGUCAAUCCGACCAACACCUAGUUCACAACGUUUAGGGCGUGGACUAC